rnacentral:lncRNA from 1 species
CCUACCUCCCCCAGGGACUGCUUAAUCUAGGGGACUGAAGGGUGAUCAGGAGAAAGAAAAGAGAGAAUUAUGCUGCUUCCAACAAUUAGUAGUUUGUCCUGGAACCGGGGCAUUUAAGGUUCCUGUUCCUGGAAACCGGAUGCCUUAGUCCUACCAUAUUUAGAUGGAAGAGUGGGAAGACUUUGGGAGCCAACUGGCAAAGCUAUUCUCUCUCUCUAGCAGCCUCAGCCUCUUCUAGGCAAACCUUCGGGGCUUUAGUCUUAGCGUGGCUCAUCGGACAGCAGGGAAGGCGGAGUGGGUCUGCGAAGGAGAAACAUCAGGACAUAUCAACAUGAACGGGAGUGACGGGCAGUUCGGGGCCCUGUCUGGGCCAGGCUGGUCAGAAGAAGAGCUGGAGGAAAUGCUGUGGUUUUACCGGACAGAGGACUCAACACCAUGGAAUAUUGCUGUCCUCGUCCUUGCAUUCGUGGU